AUUGCGACUAGGGGCAUUAUAGGAGUGGCUGCUAUGUCACAUGUGUAUCAGUAGGUGGCAGAGAGGAGAGAAGAUAUGUUAUGCUCAGUGUUCUGAUUUGUGAACAUCUGAAUAACUAAUUGGCUAAUAAU